AUGAACGCUGGCGGCGUGCCUAAUACAUGCAAGUCGAGCGAACAGAUGAGGAGCUUGCUCCUCUGACGUUAGCGGCGGACGGGUGGGUAACACGUGGAUAACCUACCUAUAAGACUGGGAUAACUUCGGGAAACCGGAGCUAAUACCGGAUAAUAUAUUGAACCGCAUGGUUCAAUAGUGAAAGACGGUUUUGCUGUCACUUAUAGAUGGAUCCGCGCCGCAUUAGCUAGUUGGUAAGGUAACGGCUUACCAAGGCAACGAUGCGUAGCCGACCUGAGAGGGUGAUCGGCCACACUGGAACUGAGACACGGUCCAGACUCCUACGGGAGGCAGCAGUAGGGAAUCUUCCGCAAUGGGCGAAAGCCUGACGGAGCAACGCCGCGUGAGUGAUGAAGGUCUUCGGAUCGUAAAACUCUGUUAUUAGGGAAGAACAAAUGUGUAAGUAACUAUGCACGUCUUGACGGUACCUAAUCAGAAAGCCACGGCUAACUACGUG
rnacentral:rRNA from 1 species